rnacentral:rRNA from 1 species
UUGAACGCUGGCGGCAGGCUUAACACAUGCAAGUCGAGCGGAGAGAGGUAGCUUGCUACUGAUCUUAGCGGCGGACGGGUGAGUAAUACUUAGGAAUCUGGCUAUUAGUGGGGGACAACAUUUCGAAAGGGAUGCUAAUACCGCAUACGUCCUACGGGAGAAAGCAGGGGAUCUUCGGACCUUGCGCUAAUAGAUGAGCCUAAGUCGGAUUAGCUAGUUGGUGGGGUAAAGGCCUACCAAGGCGACGAUCUGUAGCGGGUCUGAGAGGAUGAUCCGCCACACUGGGACUGAGACACGGCCCAGACUCCUACGGGAGGCAGCAGUGGGGAAUAUUGGACAAUGGGGGGAACCCUGAUCCAGCCAUGCCGCGUGUGUGAAGAAGGCCUUAUGGUUGUAAAGCACUUUAAGCGAGGAGGAGGGUACUGGUAUUAAUACUACCAGGUACUGGACGUUACUCGCAGAAUAAGCACCGGCUAACUCUGUGCCAGCAGCCGCGGUAAUACAGAGGGUGCGAGCGUUAAUCGGAUUUACUGGGCGUAAGGCGUGCGUAGGCGGCUAAUUGAGUCGGAUGUGAAAUCCCCGAGCUUAACUUGGGAAUUGCAUUCGAUACUGGUUAGCUAGAGUGUGGGAGAGGAUGGUAGAAUUCCAGGUGUAGCGGUGAA